UACGUAGGGGGCAAGCGUUGUCCGGAAUUAUUGGGCGUAAAGAGUACGUAGGCGGUUUGUUAAGCGCAAGGUGAAAGGCAUAGGCUCAACCAAUGUGAGCCUUGCGAACUGGCAGACUUGAGUGCAGGAGAGGAAAGCGGAAUUCCUAGUGUAGCGGUGAAAUGCGUAGAUAUUGGGAGGAACACCAGUGGCGAAGGCGGCCUGCUGGACAUUAACUGACGCUGAGGCGCGAAAGCGUGGGGAGCAAACAGG
rnacentral:rRNA from 1 species